GGAGAAAGCUCUCCGGGCUGCGCCGAGCGCGCGGUGCGCCCCGGGCGCCGGGCAGGUCCCCGCCGGCGGUCUCCGCUUCCACCGGAAGGAGGGCGCGUCGUCGGCGGCCGAGACCGUACCCCGCCCGGGGAGGCGCCGCGCUCAGCGGGGCCCUCGCCCAGUCGCGACCCGCACGGGCCCGCACCCUCCCGCGCCCAGCCCGAGAGCCCCCGCGACGGGCUCGGCACGUGUGAGGA